rnacentral:rRNA from 1 species
GACAGAGGGUGCAAACGUUGUUCGGAAUUACUGGGCGUAAAGCGAGUGUAGGCGGUUUGGUAAGUCGGAUGUGAAAGCCCUGGGCUCAACUCAGGAAGUGCACUCGAAACUGCCAAGCUAGAGUAUCGGAGAGGUUGGUGGAAUUCUCGGUGUAGAGGUGAAAUUCGUAGAUAUCGAGAGGAACACCGGUGGCGAAGGCGGCCAACUGGACGAAUACUGACGCUGAGACUCGAAAGCGUGGGGAGCAAACAGG